UACGAAGGGGGCUAGCGUUGUUCGGAAUCACUGGGCGUAAAGGGCGCGUAGGCGGCCGAUCAAGUCGGGGGUGAAAGCCUGUGGCUCAACCACAGAAUUGCCUUCGAUACUGUUUGGCUUGAGACCGGAAGAGGUAAGUGGAACUGCGAGUGUAGAGGUGAAAUUCGUAGAUAUUCGCAAGAACACCAGUGGCGAAGGCGGCUCACUGGCCCGAUACUGACACUGAGGCACGAAAGCGUGGGGAGCAAACAGG
rnacentral:rRNA from 1 species